GAUGAACGCUAGCGGGAGGCCUAACACAUGCAAGCCGAGCGGUAGAGUUUCUUCGGAAACUUGAGAGCGGCGCACGGGUGCGUAACACGUGUGCAACCUACCUUUAUCUGGGGGAUAGCCUUUCGAAAGGAAGAUUAAUACCCCAUAAUAUAAUGAUUGGCAUCAAUUAUUAUUGAAAACUCCGGUGGAUAGAGAUGGGCACGCCCAAGAUUAGAUAGUUGGUGAGGUAACGGCUCACCAAGUCAAUGAUCUUUAGGGGUCCUGAGAGGGAGAUCCCCCACACUGGUACUGAGACACGGACCAGACUCCUACGGGAGGCAGCAGUGAGGAAUAUUGGACAAUGGGUGAGAGCCUGAUCCAGCCAUCCCGCGUGAAGGAUGACGGUCCUAUGGAUUGUAAACUUCUUUUGUACAGGGAUAAACCUACCCUCGUGAGGGUAGCUGAAGGUACUGUACGAAUAAGCACCGGCUAACUCCGUG
rnacentral:rRNA from 1 species